UGAUAUAAAUUGUAUACAAGGGUUUAUUUUACAGACCUGUUGUAAAUCAAUAAUAUACAUUGAUAUUAUCAUGAUUAUAACAGGCAGGAUAUUCAAUUACUUUUAUGAUUAUAGUAUCUCCUCAACCUGAUGGAGCAGUUUGCAGAGCUCGAAGCUUCAAGUCAAUAAAAAAGAAUGAAACCCCUUAUCACAUGAAGAUCUGGAUCAAUACAACCGAUUCAACUCUCAUUGAGCAGACUUCAUGUAAUUGUGAAUCUGGCCAGGGCAAAUGUAAUCACGUGAUUGGUUUACUGUAUUUGUUACAACACUAUCAAUCCCUUGACUUAAAAACAGUGCCACCUGCAUUGUCAAAAACAUCGCUGCCACAAACAUGGCAUGUUUCACAAAGAAGUAAAGGCCUUUUUGCCAAAAAGGUAGACCAAAUCACUGUUAAAAAAAUAAAAACACCUGCCAGUGGAUCUGUUACAUCUAAGUCAUCAACAGAUACUACCUCUUCUACUGCCUCUACUUCAUCUGCUGCCUCUACUACAUCUGCUGCCUCAACUACAUCUGCUGCCUCUACUAACACUUCCUCUGCUUCUCCUACACUUACUCACUCAUCAUCUUCCAAUGCGAAACCUGUCCCU